rnacentral:rRNA from 1 species
UUCUUCAGCACUACAGAGUCCAUGGAGCUGCCGGAGUGAAACAAACAAAAUUGACGUCCGAUCUCAGAAGCCAAACAGGGUUGGGCCUGGUUAGUACCUGGAUGGGAGACCGCUUGGGAAUACCAGGUGCUGUAAGUU